rnacentral:lncRNA from 1 species
UUUUUUUUUUUUUUUUUUUUUGGCCAUGCCCUCAGCCUGUGAAAGUUCCUAAGCCAAGGAUCGAACUUGUACCGCUACAGUAACCAGAGCCACCGCGAUGGAAAUGAUGGAUCCUUAACCCACUGAGCCACCAGGGGCGUCCUCUGUCUUAAGCAGAGGCCUGGGCCAGGGGCAGUGGGCAGGGAUACUGGAUGUGAUCCUGAGAAUCUAUUAUUGUCCAUGUGGUGAAGGGAACCUGGGUUGCUCUCAGCUUCCUCUUAUCAUAGUGUUGGGCUGUGAGGAGACCCACCUUGCUGUCACCUGCUUUCUUAGCCUUGCUUGUUGGCUGUCCUGUCUGUGCUGGAAAACUGCAUAAUGGAACAGUUCAAAUGGGAGUUAGGACAGCAGCCCCAGAAUGAAUGCGUUAGGAGUGAAGACCUGGCUGACCCCUUGGGGUUGUUGAACAUCUCCUCCUGGAUACAGGAGGUUCCUGGGGCAAAGAAAUGCCUGCUCUUCUCAGUGCUGUGCAAAACCUAGACAAGCCCUUUGGAAGUUUCCAGUCUACCUGUUUGUUCCCCAGAACUGAAUAUGAAUCCACCUUGGCUUGGACACUAAGAUAACUUUUGCAAUUCUCUAAUAGCCUUAUCUCAGCAUUAGCUAUUCCUCAUCAGCACCAGAUAGGCUUUGUUAUCAGUACUUGUUGAGCUGGGUCCCUGUGUUCUCUUGUUACAUGCUGUGAUGUGGUGUGAUGUUACGUGAUGCUGUCUUAUGCUCUUCCCUCUCCAUUUGUAUGUAUUUGAGAUUUCCCCUAAUAAAGCGUUCAUAAAAACGCAGCGCUGCAUAGCUAUUCGAUUGGUCUUCAGACAGCCCUGAAAGAGUCACGCAGGGGAAUACUUGCCAUUGUCUCAAAUGGUGCUGGCAACCUGGUGAUGUGAGCCAAGGACUUGAGGUAUCCGUUUGUUCACUUAACAGAUAUUUAUUCAUCUGUUUAGUGCCUGGCAGUGUUCUGGGCCCUGGGAACGUAACAGGGUACAAGAUAAGAGGGCAGCCCCUGUUUCCAAGGAUCUUAUAAUGCUAGAUCCAGGGCAGAAGUCUGUAGAUAAGUAAGCAGACAGAUAAAGGAGAUGGUUUAAAGUGGUGAAAGGUUGAUCUCCUGUCACUUAGGUGUCCUCCCAGGGUGUGGCUUCCUGUCGUCUUUCAUGGCUCCCUCUCAGGAGUGCUGGUCCUGUCCUGAUUUCUUUUUUUCCUCUUCUUUUCUCUUUCUCUCUCUUUUUUCCCUUUUGUUCUGUCCAGUUGUGUGGAGGGUUUCUUGCCCUUUUUGGAAGUUUAAGGUCUCGUGCCAGCGUUCAGUAGAUGUUCUGUGCCAAUCGUUCUACGUGUACGUGGGAUUUUUUGGAUGUGUUUGUGGAAGAAGGUGAGCUCCACGUCUCACUCCUCCACCAUUCCUGAUCCUCCUCUAAAAUACGGCACAGAGGAACCAUCUACAGAACAGAAGCAGACAGGCCCAGACUUGGAGAGCAGACUUGUGGUUGCCAAGGGGGAGGGAGGGGGAAUGGGAUGGACUGGGAGUUUGGUGUUAGUAGAUGCAAACUACUAACAUUUAGAAUGGAUAAGCAAUGAGGUCCUAUGGAUUAACCCAGGGAACUAUAUCCAACGUUUGUGAUAGAAUAUGAUGGAAGAUAAUAUAUUAGAAAAAGAAUGUGUAUCUAUGUAUAACUGUGUCACUUUGUCAUACAGCAGAAAUUGACAGAAUAUUAUAAAUCAACUAUAAUAAAUUUAAAAAAAAUGCAGGCUUCCCCAGGUGAGCAGGCCGUCCCCAGGGAGGGCCUCGCAGACAGACGGAGCUUCUGCGCAGAUGCCCUGGGAUGCAAACACUAUCUUCUCUGAGUGGUGCCCCAGAGAACGCACAGUGCAGCCAGUUCAUCUGACACACACGGCCCCUCCCACCCAGACCUGGACAUUAGCCUCCCUCCUCACUACCUGCCACUUUAAGAGCUAGUGAGUAAUCCAGUAAACAAGCCACUAUAGUAUCCUCACUAAGUGGGCUUUCAAAUUCGUGGUUAACCAAAUAAAGCAGUCGAUUUUCUGCAGUGGUAAAAUAAACGUACCCAGUGUAAAAACAGGCCGCCUUUCAAGUAUGACCAUCAUAAACAGCCUUGUGGGACAUCUGCGUUCUUUCAGGACCUGGUUCUGAGGUUGUUGUUUAUGCAUGGGUUUGUUUCUUGAGUAAAUAUGUGUUCUGUCCUGCAUAGCAAGCACUAUGCAGACUAGACAGGAAUGAGCCAGGACAAGUGUGGCCCAGCCUCUGCUUGGGGGACCCUGAGUGGGAAGUGACAGGUGUCUGUGUCCAGGCCAUGCACUUACCAUGUGCCAGGUGGGGUAGGUGGUAGUGAGCAAAACAGACCCAGGCUCAGCCCUGGUGUAGCUUAGCGUGAAGUGGACAAGAUGGACAGUAAAACUGGGGCACUGACAAAGUCGGAAGGGUGCCAUCUGGAAGACGAAUGGUGAAAAACAGGGGAGAUCAGGGAAGGCCUCUCGGGGGAGGUGAUGUUCUCGCUGACUGUGAGAAGAAACCAGCAAGGAGGACAUUCUUGGCAGAGAGAGCACCAUGGGUGAUGGCUCUGAGUCAGAGAAGAGUUUAGAGUUCAUGGUGGGUAGAGAGGAUGAGAUGGAAGGUGGGAAAGGUGAACAGAGGCCAAAUCCUGCAGAUGACAGUAAGGAAUUAGUUGAUGUUCCAAGCACAACAGGGAGUUAUUAUAGAAUGUUAAGCCAGGAGGAUGAUAGCACAUUUAUUUUCAAAAGAUCAUUCUGGGAGCUCCUGCUGUGGUGCCGUGUGUUAAGAAUCUGACUGCAUUGGCUCAGGUUGCUGCAGAGGUGUGGGUUUGAUCCCCAGCCCAGCACAAUAAGUUAAAGGCUCAGGCAUUGCUGCAGCUGCCAUAUAGGUCCCAGCUGUGGCUCUGAUUCAAUCCCUGGCUUGGAAAUUUCCAUAUGCCUGAGUGCCAGCAUUUAAAAAGAAAUUCUUUCUGUGAGGUUAGAUGUGGGGUUAAAGAAUAUACCAGAAAGAUCCUGAACUAGGACUUAAAAUCCCAGCUUUGCGGAGUUCCCUUCGUGGCGCAGUAGUUAACGAAUCUGACUAGGAACCAUGAGGUUGCAGGUUCAGUCCCUGCCCUUGCUCAGUGGGUUAAUGAUCCAGCGUUGCCGUGACCUGUGGUGUAGGUUGCAGACGCGGCUCGGAUCCCACAUUGCUGUGGCUCUGGUGUAGGCCAGUGGCUACAGCUCCGAUUUGACCCCUAGUCUGGGAAUCUCCAUAUGCCGCAGGAGCGGCUCAAGAAAUAGC